AUUGCACGCUAGCGGCAUGCUUUACACAUGCAAGUCGAACGAGUGGCGAACGGGUGAGUAAUAUAUCGGAACGUGCCCAGUAGCGGGGGCUAACUACUCGAAAGAGUGGCUAAUACCCCAUACUCUUGGAGCGGCCGAUAUCGGAUUAGCUAGUUGGUGGGGUAAAGGCUCACCAAGGCAACGAUCCGUAGCUGGUUUGAGAGGAGGACCAGCCAAACUGGAACUGAGAAACGGCCCAGACUCCUACGGGAGGCAGCAGUGGGGAAUUUUGGAAAAUGGGGGAAACCCUGAGCCAGCCAUCCCGCGUGUAUGAGAAGGCCUUCGGGUUGUAAAGUACUUUUGGCAGAGAAGCGGUAUCGGAAGAAUAAGCACCGGCUAACUACGUGCCAGCCGCCGCGGUAAUUC
rnacentral:rRNA from 1 species